rnacentral:rRNA from 1 species
UACGUAGGGGGCAAGCGUUGUCCGGAUUCAUUGGGCGUAGAGAGCUCGUAGGCGGCUUGGCAAGUCGGGUGUGAAAACUCCAGGCUCAACCUGGAGACGCCACCCGAUACUGCCAUGGCUUGAGUCCGGUAGGGGACCACGGAAUUCCUGGUGUAGCGGUGAAAUGCGCAGAUAUCAGGAGGAACACCGGUGGCGAAGGCGGGUCUCUGGGCAGUUACUGACGCUGAGGAGCGAAAGCAUGGGAAGCGAACAGG